rfam:Schistosoma mattheei strain Denwood, Zambia genome assembly, scaffold: SMTD_scaffold0006843
ACCCAUCUGACGAGUCCAAAAUAAGACGAAACGCGCGUCCUACAU